rnacentral:tRNA from 1 species
GGAUGCGGGCAUCGUAUAAUGGCUAUUACCUCAGCCUUCCAAGCUGAUGAUGCGGGUUCGAUUCCCGCUGCCCGCUCC